CUGGGGCUGGCUAGUCACGUGACGCGUAGUUGACCCCGCAAAAUGGCCGCGCACAUAAGCCGACUCGUGCGUAUCGGCUGUCAUCAGAAAAUCUUAAGCUGUCAAGUGGUAUCAAGAUGUUCUGUGCCUGUCAUAUCCCAGUGUGCUCCAGCCGUGUGUGUACUACAGGUGCGAUACCCGUCAAGCAAACACUUCAACCCAAAGUUUCGGAAACUCCGGAGGAAGAAGGUUAUGAAGAUUGACUUGCCAGACUAUGGAAAGGUGAUGAAAGAUCGGAACAUGUCGGCUGAUGAGAAGCACAAACAAAUGAAGGAAGACAAAAUUCCACCACCACGAAUAUUUCAAGAGAGACCCAUCAAUAUUAGCUGCACAUCUGCCAUAUUUGAACCCUUCGUCCCUCCAGAAGGAGAUGGCAAGUCUUCCUUCCUCUCAACUGAGGGAGUGAAACAGAAGUAUACAGAGUUUGAGAAGAAAGGAAAGUCGUUUAUGGCCCUCCGGAAAGUGCGACAGUUCGAAGAUGAUUUUGAUACCAAGGACUUUGCUCAGCAGGCCCAAGACAUUCUGAUGGAGGCUCAGAAGUGUCUGGAGGAUGUACGAGGCAACAAGAAUCGACUCCAUGAACUUGUCUCUGAGAAAGGAUAUGUGGAGAUGGUGUUUGGUUUGGAGAACAAGACAUUUCGCUGGGGAUUUGUGGAGUCCAUCGAGCCACCCCGUGUGACUCAUGUCCGUACUACAGAGGUGUUGGGGAAGGACAACCUGUAUGCCCAGGUGACCGUGAGGAUGCAUACCAAACAGAUCCUUGCUAUCUAUGACCGGUUUGGUCGUCUGAUGUACGGCAGUGAGACUAUUCCCAAAGACUGUUUAGAGUAUGUGGUGUUUGAGAAGCACAUCGCUAACGUGUAUGGACAGUGGAGAGUUCACGGCAAGAUAAUUCCAGACUGGAUGCCCCCUAGAGAGCCACUGAUAAAGACAUAUCGUGUACCUAAGUUUGAACCUCUGGAGGAGUUAGAGGAAGACACCAGUUCAUCUACCAGUGUGGAGAAGCAGGACAAAGGCACCUCUGUGCAGACUGCUGCGUGAGACAGGCAACUGGGAGCGGAGAAGGUGGUGGAGCGUCUGGGAGAGGAGUAGGAGCAGGGUGGUGGAGAGUCUGGGAGUGCUGUCUGUCAUGGUCAAACCUUCUCUGGUGAAGCCCUGGCACAAAACUGGACAUCAAUCAUCAGGAAUGCUGUGUAAUGUGGAAACACACUGACAAGGGAAAGUCAAAUGUCAUAAACGUAUCUGUGAAGAAAAAUAUGUUUUCAUAUUCAUGUGUCAACUGUUGUUUUAUGACAUAAUGGAGUAUUGAUGACUUGCCUGCCUCCAUGCUUGAAGACAAUCUGUAUCCAGUCAAACAUUCAGCACUAAUGCUGGCACUAACACAGUGAUGCUCCAGACUGAGAAGUGAUGAUUAGGUUCUACAUGGCUGGAACCUGACAAUGUUCCUUGAUCCUGGAAGUCUGUGUAGGUCAUGUAUUUCCUCAGCUUCACCCCAGUUGUACCUGUUUGAUGUACACACAGGGGUAUGCUUCAUCUGUGUAGUAGUGUAUUGAGAGAGUGUGUGAAAGUUUGGAAUAAAGCUGAAUAGUAAUG